rnacentral:rRNA from 1 species
GUCUACAGCUGUGCCACCCUGAACAAGCCCGAUCCUGGAUGAUCUCAGAAGCUAAGCAGGGUCAGGCCUGGGUAGUACUUGGAUGGGAGAGACCACCUAGGAAAACCAGGUGCUGUAGGCA